rnacentral:rRNA from 1 species
UGGGGAAUAUUGCACAAUGGGCGAAAGCCUGAUGCAGCGACGCCGCGUGAGCGAAGAAGUAUUUCGGUAUGUAAAGCUCUAGCAGCAGGGAAGAAGAAUGACGGUACCUGACUAAGAAGCCCCGGCUAACUACGUGCCAGCAGCCGCGGUAAUACGUAGGGGGCAAGCGUUAUCCGGAUUUACUGGGUGUAAAGGGAGCGCAGGCGGUACGGCAAGUCUGAUGUGAAAGCCCGGGGCUCAACCCCGGGACUGCAUUGGAAACUGUCGGACUAGAGUGUCGGAGGGGUAAGUGGAAUUCCUAGUGUAGCGGUGAAAUGCGUAGAUAUUAGGAGGAACACCAGUGGCGAAGGCGGCUUACUGGACGAUCACUGACGCUGAGGCUCGAAAGCGUGG